rnacentral:lncRNA from 1 species
CUUUCGGCGGCAGGUUCGGCGGCCGAAACCCCACUCCAGAGACGAAACUCAUGCAUGUUCGGCGGCACCUUCGGCGGCCAAAGGUCUCGUCCAGAGACGAAACUCACACACUUUCGGCGGCCGAACUCCCUCUUUCGGCGGCCGAAAGUCCCUUUCUAAACCGAAAGCCUAGCUUUCGGGGGCAACCUUUGGCAGCCGAACUGCC